AGCAGCCGCGGUAAUUCCAGCUCCAAUAGCGUAUAUUAAAGUUGUUGCAGUUAAAAAGCUCGUAGUUGAAUUUCGAGACCGGUUUAUUGGUCGUGCUUUUGUACGUACUGGUAUUAUUGGUUUCUCCUUUCUGACGAAUCUUAAUGCCAUUAAUUUGGUGUUUUGGGGAAUCAGGACUGUUACUUUGAAAAAUUAGAGUGUUUAAAGCAGGCUCACGCCUGAAUACAUUAGCAUGGAAUAACGGAAUAGGACGUUUGAUUCUAUUUUGUUGGUUUCUAGGAUCGACGUAAUGAUUAAUAGGGAUAGUUGGGGGCAUUAGUAUUCAAUUGUCAGAGGUGAAAUUCUUGGAUUUAUUGAAGACUAACUACUGCGAAAGCAUUUGCCAAGGAUGUUUUCAUUAAUCAAGAACGAAAGUUAGGGGAUCGAAGACGAUCAGAUACCGUCGUAGUCUUAACCAUAAACUACGCCGACUAGGGAUCGGAUGAUGUUAAUUUUUAAUGACUCA
rnacentral:rRNA from 1 species